UGUCUAAUGUUUUACGACACACGUCACUUGUCAGGUUUGAACUGUACUUGCGAGUCAUUUUUGUGUUGCCAUUUAUCUCCGUCUGUAAGUGGACUUCUUACUGGAAAAGAUGGCAACUUUUGAAUUUUAUAACGUCUUGGAAGAAUAUUUGUUGCCUGAAAAAUUUAACUCCAAUCGAAUGAAGAGGGAGCGAAAUGAAAUGCGACAUGUGUCUCUGAACUUUAUAAUGGAUAUGUAUAGCUUUUUGAUACCCGGUGGUAACCAGCCUUCCACGUGGCUGAACAGAUGCCAGCGAACCCGAAUUCUGAGACACAACUGGAUGUCCUUUUCCUCUGCUUUUAAGAUUUCCAAUUCGGGAUGAUGUGCAGUUCAUGUUAGAUUUGUUAUUUCUACAGUUACUGUGAAGUAGAAGAGUCCGGUCGUGUUAUGGGACAGCAGUUCAAGAAGAAGGAUGGAGAGACGUGUGCCAUGUUGAAGUAGUGGCUGGCCCUCCUGCCCGGCACUUCUAGAAUCCUCCAUCUCAACCUCUACUCUGAUCUGCUGUGCCUUUGCCAAUUGAUCACGAGGUA